AUAUUUAGUUUGCUGAUUCUAGAAAGGAUGUAUUGAAAAAGAUAUCAAUUAAAGUCCAAACUUAUCGUGAUGAGCUAGUGGCUAAGAUAAGGACUCGGUUUAGUCUAAUGGAAUCUAAAAA